rnacentral:lncRNA from 1 species
UAUAGAUCAUCGAGCAACAAAAAAAAGGAAAAUAACCAUGUUUUUCCCAAAAAAAAACUGGACAAGCUAUUAGUCCUUUUCUGUUUGUCACGCUGUCUGUUUGAACCUGACGUAAAACGAGAGCGAGAGAAUGAAGAAAAACUUGUAUUCAUUCAAUCAGAGGUAUACAAUAUAUACAGAGAGAAUGGGCGGCAGGAACGGGCGUGCGACAUCGGUGAUGUCAGUUCCUGGAACCGUUAGAUGGAUGAGAUCACCGUUUUUAAUCUCAUUAUUUUGUAACACUCCCCCUUGAUUGAAUCCCGCUUUUGAUUGUUCCAGAUAUCCUGUGUUGGAAGUAUCUUCGGCCUCACCAUGGUGGGACCAAAUUAUGUAAUCAUACAUAAAACCUCACUUCAUCAAAUGUCUCUUAAUGAGGUCCAUGUUCCCCCGUACUAUGUUGUUGCUACAGUCAAAGCAUGGACAACAAAUUCACUUUGUCAUGUUACUGCGAGCGUGCUUCUCCACAAUAUUAAUAAUAUUUGAUGCUUCCUAUAUGAAAGUAUAUGAAUGUUUCUGCAUGAAAUACAUCCAUCCCUGUCAUCUUUAACUACCUACCUAUGUCAAUAAUUCUAUACUAUAUUAAACCAAACUCAAUUAAUCGCUAAUUUAAUUUAGUAAGCAAACAAUUUACUAUGAAAAUAAUAAAAAUAGGAAAAAACAAUUUCAAAAAUCUAUUAAGAUGAAAAACAGUCUUGUGAUAAUUAUAAGAGUAAGUUGCACCCACCAUACAAUAACUUGUCAUGUGAGUGCAAAUUGGUGCAAUAACUUGUAAAAUGCUACAUUUGCUACAAUAACUUGACAAGUGGGUGCAGGUUGGUCCAACUCAAUUUAGUGCAAUAACUUGACAAAUUGGUGCACCUACAAUCCAAACGUUACAACAACAAUGUAUUAAGCAAAGUAGAUGUAUUAAGCAAAUUUUCUUCCAGUCAAUAAUUCUUUUUUGACCGAAGUCAGUAGGGGAAACCCCAACCUAUUUUUUAUAAUUCUUUUUUAUUUCAGACAUGUUUAAUUCGCUCCCACAGGGAUUCAAACCUAAACCUGCUGGAUGCUACUCAGGUGCUCUAACCACUAGGCUAGCGGCACUUUUUAGCUCCAAUCAAUAAUUCUUAAUUUUUGUUAAUAAAAAUUCUUGAUCGUGAUCAGGCUCAUUGCUUCAAGACUAUUUAUUUGUUCAUUAGUUAAAUUGGAUAAUAUUUCAGAAUUAGGCCAUUGUCAUUAUCGAAAGACACGUCCAUAUGGGAGACCCUAGGAUCUUAGGUUUUUUUUUCUAUGCUUCUGCUCAUAUAUUCAAUAACUGUAUACAAGCAUGUUUGUCUCUAUUCUUUUACCUCAUUUUUCCUUUCUAAACAAGUACAUGAGGCUUUAAAAAUAUUUAUGCCAACUCGUAAAAAGUAUUGUUAGUAUAUGCAUUAAUAUAACAUAUUGGUUUUUUGUGUAGCUGAACAAUGGAUAUAAUUAAACAUAUAAAAAUAAUGAGGGUAAACUUAUCAAUAUCUAAUAUGAAAUUAAAUAUUCUUAAUCAAAAUUAAAUCAUAGUAUAAAAAUAAUUAAUCUGAAGACAUCUAACAUUAAUUUCAUAAACACUGAAGGUUCUAAUUUUGGUUGUGAUGUAAAUAUCAAUAGCAAAAUAAUGCUAAAUAAUUUAUUCCGACGUAAAUAUACCCUAACCUAGCAUUAGCAAAUAUGUCGCACAUUAUAAGAUUUGGACUAUGGAUGAACUAAUUUGUUAAGUUAUUGCACUAAAUCGAGCAUUUUACAGCUUGUGGGACCAAUCUGCACCCACCUAUCAAGUUAUACUAGAUUGAGCAUUUUACAAGUUUUUGGACCAAUCUGCACUCACCUAUCAAGUUAUUGUACUAGAUUGAGCAUUUUACAAGUUGUUAGACCAUCUGCACCCAUCUAACAAGUUGUUGUACGGUGGAUUUAAUUUACUCUAAUUAUAAUAUGAUAAUGGAACUUAUUCGAAAAAUGAUCAAGCUCGUACUUGCUGUCUCUCCUCUCCUCUCCUAUCUCUUUCUAGAUGAAGAUCUAGAUCUAGAUGAAUAUAUAGGGCUCCUAAUGCUAGCAGAACAUGUUAAAGCUCCUUGCUAAUGGUACAAUCAUAUGAACCUACACACUCAAGUAAGAUUUGGUAGAAAUUCAAGCUCAAUUGUAUCUAUGAACGGGGAAGAACACCGUGGCAACCCCUUCUUGCAAGAAAACCCUAAGCAAGCUAGAAAUGAUGGCUAAAACUUGGAAAAGAAGCAUGGAAUGGCAUAAACUCACCUUGUAGAGUCACCUCCUCCACAGAAUUCAUGAAUAAAACCUUCCCUUGUGUAUUUGAUGUUUCUGAAGCUUUUCGCUCCUCUCGGUCAAGCUCCAAAUUGGAAGGCUUCUUGGGGAAGAAGUUGUUCGCGGGGUAAUCUGGGCAGCAUCGUGCUGAUAGGUGUCCUAAACACCCGCCAGCACAAAUGCUACCUAUUUAUGCUGACGGAUGUUGACGUGCCAGCUCCUGGCUCUUUUGUGCUAGUGGGUGGCAAUCUUACCCAC